CUACUUACUGAUCCCCUACCAUGUGCCAGACCUAGGAUAGGCAGUUUGUAGUUAUGAUCUCUGUCGUUAACAACAACACUGAGGUGAUAGAUACUAUAAUCCAUGUUUAAUGGAUACAGAUGUUGAGACUAAAAGAAGUUAACUAACUAAUUGACAUGAGGUCAUGUAUCCAGUAAUUGUCAGUACUGGAACUCAAAUCCAAAUUUCUCUGAUUCCAAACCCAGUAUACUUUAUUCUGUGCCAAAUUGCUUCCUAAGAAGUAGAUAUUUGUUUUCAGGAAGAAGAUAGUUUGAGGUCCUAACAGGCCCUAAGUUGGGCCCUAAAAUCUUCAGUUUUUUCCUAGUUUAAAUUUUUUCUCUAGUAAUUUGUUUCAUCUUGUUCCUAUGUCUCUCUUGGUUAUUUGCUUUACUCUCUAGCUACAGAAGAAAGGAAACCAGCUGAAGUUCUCAUUGUCGAGGGACAACAGUAUGCUGUCGUUGGAACUGUAUUGUUGUUGAUAAGAAUUAUCCUUGAAUAUUGCCAGUGUGUGGACAAUAUCCCAUCUGUUACUACUGACAUGCUUACUCGUCUGUCAGAUUUAUUGAAGUACUUCAAUUCAAGAAGUUGCCAGUUAGUUCUUGGAGCUGGUGCACUGCAAGUUGUUGGACUAAAAACAAUAACUACAAAAAAUUUGGGUAUGGAUUCUUGCUUUUAAUUCACAUGCUGAGAUUUUACUGUGAGGUCGCCAUACUUGUGUUUUUAUUAUACCUGAUGUUUUUAUGACUCUAAUUAAAGGCUCUAAAAGUAGCAAAUGCUGCUUUACUCUUCUAUGUAUUACCAUAACUGAAAAAUUAACUUCUGAGGUAAUGUUAUGAAGAAUUUCCAUUCUAACAAAUACAAGUUAUUUGGAAGUUGCACCACUAUAGAAAAUGUUAAGAUAUGUAAUACGUAUGAGGUGCUGUGAGGUGAAAGGUAUCUGAAUGUCAGAAGAGAAUCUGUUGUCUCAUUAGCUUCCUCAUGUCAGUAAUACUAACACUUUGAGUUCAUUGGGAAAAGCAGCAUGUUUACUACAUUAUUCAGUACCAAAUCAUUUUUUUUUUUAAGAUUUUUAUUUGAGAGAGAGAGAGAGAGCCCACAAGCGGGAAGGGGCAGAGAGGGAGAGAGAAAGAAUCU